rnacentral:rRNA from 1 species
UACGUAGGGCGCAAGCGUUGUCCGGAAUUAUUGGGCGUAAAGAGCUCGUAGGCGGUCUGUCGCGUCUGCUGUGAAAACUCAGGGCUUAACCCUGAGCUUGCAGUGGGUACGGGCAGACUAGAGUGCGGUAGGGGAGACUGGAAUUCCUGGUGUAGCGGUGAAAUGCGCAGAUAUCAGGAGGAACACCGGUGGCGAAGGCGGGUCUCUGGGCCGUAACUGACACUGAGAGACGAAAGCUAGGGGAGCAAAUGGG